GUGGGGAAUAUUGGACAAUGGGGGCAACCCUGAUCCAGCCAUGCCGCGUGUGUGAAGAAGGCCUUUUGGUUGUAAAGCACUUUAAGCGAGGAGGAGGCUUACCUGGUUAAUACCUGGGAUAAGUGGACGUUACUCGCAGAAUAAGCACCGGCUAACUCUGUGCCAGCAGCCGCGGUAAUACAGAGGGUGCAAGCGUUAAUCGGAUUUACUGGGCGUAAAGCGCGCGUAGGUGGCUAAUUAAGUCAAAUGUGAAAUCCCCGAGCUUAACUUGGGAAUUGCAUUCGAUACUGGUUAGCUAGAGUAUGGGAGAGGAUGGUAGAAUUCCAGGUGUAGCGGUGAAAUGCGUAGAGAUCUGGAGGAAUACCGAUGGCGAAGGCAGCCAUCUGGCCUAAUACUGACACUGAGGUGCGAAAGCAUGGGGAGCAAACAGGAUUAGAUACCCCAGUAGUCC
rnacentral:rRNA from 1 species